AUUGAACGCUGGCGGCAUGCUUUACACAUGCAAGUCGAACGGUAACAGGUUAAGCUGACGAGUGGCGAACGGGUGAGUAAUGCAUCGGAACGUGCCCGGUCGUGGGGGAUAACGCAGCGAAAGCUGCGCUAAUACCGCAUACGAUCUGAGGAUGAAAGCGGGGAACCGUAAGGCCUCGCGCGAUCGGAGCGGCCGAUGUCAGAUUAGGUAGUUGGUGAGGUAAAGGCUCACCAAGCCAACGAUCUGUAGCUGGUCUGAGAGGACGACCAGCCACACUGGGACUGAGACACGGCCCAGACUCCGACGGGAGGCAGCAGUGGGGAAUUUUGGACAAUGGGCGAAAGCCUGAUCCAGCAAUGCCGCGUGCAGGAAGAAGGCCUUCGGGUUGUAAACUGCUUUUGUACGGAGCGAAAAGGCUCUCUCUAAUACAGGGGGCUCAUGACGGUACCGUAAGAAUAAGCACCGGCUAACUACGUGCCAGCCGCCGCAGUAA
rnacentral:rRNA from 1 species